rnacentral:rRNA from 1 species
AAACCAACCGGGAUUGCCUCAGUAACGGCGAGUGAAGCGGCAAAAGCUCAAAUUUGAAAUCUGCGUAAGCCGAGUUGUAAUUUGAAGAUGGCUACUUUGGUAAUGGCUCUUGUCUAUGUUCCUUGGAACAGGACGUCACAGAGGGUGAGAAUCCCGUGCGAUGAGAUGUCCAU